rnacentral:tRNA from 1 species
GCUCAGUUCGUCUAGCGGCCUAGGACUCCGCCCUCUCACGGCGGCAACAGGGGUUCGAUUCCCCUACUGGGUGCCA